UUUGAAACUUUCAAAUACUUAGUUGCUUGUAGCUUUCAUGUUCUUUCAGAUUAUCAACUGAUAAAGAUUUAAAGCUAUAAGCUAAGUUCGCUUAAAAUUUUGCAUUUUUCUGUCCUUUCUUUCUCAAUAUUUGCAGUUUCGGUAGCAUAAAAUGGCUGGGGGAGUGAAUGAAGCACAGUUUAAAGGAUGGCAAAAAUAUUUCAACACCUCUACAACUCGAGGAAGAGUUAAUAUAACCUUUGCAGCAUAUGGUGCAUUAGCUAUAUUGAGUCAUGGUGUUUACACAUGGACAAAACCUAAGAAGAAGCUAGCAGUAACUAAAACUGUAUAAUAAAAUUUAUUUUAUUGAAUAUUAAGAAAUAAAUUUAUGUCUAUUUUCAA